GAUGAAGAACGCAGCGAAAUGCGAUAAGUAAUGUGAAUUGCAGAAUUCAGUGAAUCAUCGAAUCUUUGAACGCACAUUGCGCCCGCCAGUAUUCUAGCGGGCAUGCCUGUUCGAGCGUCAUUUCAACCAUCAAGCCCCCGGCUUGUGUUGGGGACCUGCGGCUGCCGCAGGCCCUGAAAACCAGUGGCGGGCUCGCUAGUCACUCCGAGCGUAGUAGUUACAUCUCGCUCAGGGCGUGCUGCGGGUUCCGGCCGUUAAAAGCCUUAUUUACCCAAGGUUGACCUCGGAUCAGGUAGGAAGACCCGCUGAACUUAAGCAUAUCAAUAAGCGGAGGA
rnacentral:misc_RNA from 1 species